rnacentral:rRNA from 1 species
GCGGAUGGAGCUGAAGCCAGUCGAAGAUACCAGCUGGCUGCAACUGUUUAAUAAAAACACAGCACUGUGCAAACACGAAAGUGGACGUAUACGGUGUGACGCCUGCCCGGUGCUGGAAGGUUAAUUGAUGGGGUCAGCCGCAAGGCGAAGCUCUUGAUCGAAGCCCCAGUAAACGGCGGCCGUAACUAUAACGGUCCUAAGGUAGCGAAAUUCCUUGUCGGGUAAGUUCCGACCUGCACGAAUGGCGUAAUGAUGGCCAGGCUGUCUCCACCCGAGACUCAGUGAAAUUGAACUCGCUGUGAAGAUGCAGUGUACCCGCGGCAAGACGGAAAGACCCCGUGAACCUUUACUAUAGCUUGACACUGAACAUUGAGCCUUGAUGUGUAGGAUAGGUGGGAGGCUUUGAAGCGUGGACGCCAGUCUGCGUGGAGCCAUCCUUGAAAUACCACCCUUUAAUGUUUGAUGUUCUAACUC